GGGUCAUCAGUCAUAGGUCAAGUGUCUCGAGUGUAGAAAUAUUCCUCUAGAUUUAGUUUGCGAAUUUACUCUAAUAGCAGGCUUAUUCGCUGCAACCUACCGGGCCAUGGCUGCCAAAAGUGGGAAGAAGUCUGUGCUCUUCGUCUGUCUUGGUAAUAUCUGCCGGUCACCCAUAGCAGAGGCUGUUUUCACCCACCUGGUGAGAGAGAAGGGGCAACUGGAACAGUGGACAGUAGACAGUGCAGGCACUCAUGACUGGAAUGUGGGGCUUCCACCAGAUGAGAGGGGCCAGGCGUGCAUGAGGAAGCACGGCGUUUAUAAGGAACAGAUUGCGAGACAGGUGACAGAAGAGGACUUCACCAAGUUUCAGUACAUCCUCGGUAUGGAUCAUAACAACAUAAGCAACUUGAAAAACAUCCAGCCUCCAAAAUCCACAGCAACAGUGAAGCUACUAGGCAGCUUUGAUCCUGAGGGGCAAGAGGUCAUUGAAGACCCUUACUAUGGAGAAGAGUCUGACUUUGAGAGAGUGUAUCAGCAGUGUGUGCGUUGCUGCAAGGCUUUCCUUGACACAGUGUAGAGUCCUGGAACAUCCACACUCAUCUGUGCCAGAAAGUGGAGAGUACAUUAAGUUUGCAUUGCUCAAGUAACAGAAAGCAAAUUGUCUUGCAAAACUGCAAAGAAUUUUCAUAUGGUUUAGCAUUUAGUGUUGAAAUAUUCCAUCAUUGUAGAAUUGAAUUGAUGUUAAAAUUAGAACUGGAUCUUUUAGGGCAUGAUCGUUUGCAAUUGGGUCUUACUUUCUUAGUACCAAGUACUGAGAUUAUAUGUUUAAAAAUUGGAGCUGAAAAAGAUAAUCAUUUAUUGAUUAACUUGUUGUUUGAUGACCACUGAAACUGUGUUUAAACUAAAAGUAUGUGAAAAUGAUUAUAGCAGCUAAUAAUGAUGCUUAUGGAAGCACCAAUGCAACUAUUGCUGUUGGCUUGCAAUUAUGUCUUUUCUUUCCUUCUUCCAUAAGUGAGCAUGAUAAAGAUGCGCAAAAGAAGCUAUUCAAAUAAACAAUGAGUCUUUAUUUCACCACUUAACAUAGAUAAUGCUCUGUAGCCUUGAAAGUAGAAAAAUAAGUUAAAAACAAUUUUUAAGUUGCCUCAUAAUACAAGUAUAAAAUACCUUACCAACCCUAUAAAUUCAAGUGCAUAUUAUUUACACUCUGCCUUAAGAAACACCAUAGGACCAAGCCUUAAGAAUGUAGUAAAAAGGGCACUUAACAUGAAAUCCGCACACAUGAUACGGUUGGAUAUGACCAGGAAACUAAGGGCUUAGUUGACGUGGGCAGCCAGGAAGGUUUUCUGUAACCAUUCAAACUUAUUGCUGUCC